UCUUACAUUAACAACACGUCUGUUCGCGUAAGCGGGUAGUACUUAAAGAAAAACAAAAUAAAUAAAAAAAGAAACGGAAACAGAUAUGGAACAACAAAUAGAAUAUCGAUAUACGAGAAAUGUGCGUAUAUUGCACGUACGUAUGUACGUACACUGCGUCGUACGCGAAGAGAAUGAUGCCAGGUAUUCGUACAGUUUCAGAGAGACUAACAAAGUGGGGGAAUAAAUAGAUGGUGUCAUCGAACGCGUUAUUCGGAAUAGUAUAGUAUUCUUUAUAUCUAGUCCAAUUAUCGUUGGGAUUUAAUGGUUGUACUUGCAAAAAAAAGAAAGAAAGAAAAAAAAGACAGAAUAGAGAUAUAAAAAUUGUAACAAAAAUUUGAAGGAAAAAAAUGUAUAAGGAAAGGAAGGAAUAUACAAAUAAAAAAAGAAAAAAAAAUAGAAAUUGCAAGUGAUGAAGUAUAAUCGAUAUAAAGAGUUCAUCACUCGAUCCUGAAGAAUCUCCUACCAUUACAUCAGUUUCUCUUAAUCUAAUCCAUCUAUCGGUUGGAUGAAACGGUUUUACUUAAAAAUAAAAAGAGAAAGAAGAAAAAUGAGAUUGAAAAAAUAUAUCAGGAAACAAAAAAAAAAUAAAGAUAAAAAAUUAAAAAAAAAAUGGAUACAAAGAUAGGAAAAUAAUCGGUGUAGAAAUUAUGUGUUCGUCGCUUGAUCCUGAAGAAUCUCCUACCAUUACAUCAGUUUCUCUUAAUCUUAUCCAUCUAUCGGUUGGAUGAAACGGUCUUACUAAAAAAUAAAAAAUGAAAGAAAAGCAAAAUUGAAAAAUUAAGAAAAAGAAGAAAAUAUAUAAGGAAAUAAAGAAAAAUACAGAUAAAAUGAAAGAAAAAAGAAAAAGAUAGAAACGAAGAUGUGAAAACAAUUAGUAUAUAAAUUGGCUGGAUCGAUUCUCGGUGGUUCCGACGAUGCUCCUACUUCUCUGAUAGGUUCGUCGCUCGAUCCUGAAGAAUCUCCUACCAUUACAUUAGAUUCUCUCAAUCUAAACCAUCUAUCGGUUGGAUGAAACGGUCUUACUAAAAAAUAAAAAAAGAAGGAAGAAAAACAAAAUUGAAAAAUUAAGAAAAAGAAGAAAAUAUAUAAGGAAAUAAAAAAAAAUAAAGAUAAAAGAAUGAAAAAGAAUAAAAAUAGAAAAAAAGGAGUAAAAACAAUUAGUAUAUAAAUUGUAUAUAUUUUCUAAACGAUUGUUAUUCUUAAUAUUAUAUCAUUUUGUUAAUUAUGAUUACCACCAUGCAAGGCUGGAUCGAUUCUCGGUGGUUCCGAUGAUGCUCCUACUUCUCUAGCUUCGUCGCUCGAUUCUGAAGAAUCUCCUACCAUUACCUCAGAUUCUUUCAAUCUAAUCCAUCUAUCGGUUGGAUGAAACGGUUUUACUAGAAAAUAAAAAGAGAAAGCAGAAAACAAGAUUGAAAAAUUAUGAAGGAUGGAUCGAUUCUCGGUGGUUUUGGUGGUGCUUUUAUUUCUCUGGCUUCAUCGCUCGAUCCUGAAGAAUCUCCUACCAUUACAUCUGAUUCUCUCAAUCUAAUCCAUCUAUCUGUUGAAUGAAACGGUUUUACGUAAAAAAAAAAAGGAAAGGAACAAAAACAAGAAUGAAAAAGACUGAAUCAAUUCUUGAUUGCGAUGGUGCUCUUACUUCUCUGGCAUCAUCGCCAGAUCCUGAAGAAUCUUCUCCUCUUGUAACAGAA